UGCACUGAUGAUCUGGGAAAUCAUCUCGAUGAGACUGUUCUGUCAAAAUUGCCUGAUAAUUAUCAGUCCAUACUAAAGCAAUCCAUAACAAGCGAAGAGGAUGAUAUGGUGCCAGCGCCACGGUUGGACACAUUUAUUAUCUGCAAAGCCAAACAAUAUCUCUCGAGUAUUGACUUUGAGCCGGAGUACAGCACGGAAAUUACAGAGAUGGAGCGAGAUUUACUUACCUUUGUAUGUUACAAGUUCAUAAAGAGGCCUUUGGAGAAGGGGAAAAUAGAUUUGGUGUAAGCAUUGAUCCAACCACUUUGAUAAUAGUGGUUGUCAUAAACAACAGGAAGUAAUAUCAGUGACGGCAUCGGGUUUAAUGGAGUUGGUAAGCACUUGUCAAGUUUGGUUAUACGCUCAAGGUGUAUUAGUAGCCUAUGGCAUCUUUUACGUGAACGUUGGAUGGGGUAUCAAGAACAUAUAAACUUAGUUUGAGUUUGGCUCAGAAUCAGAUUGAAGCGGGUCAAAUUUA
rnacentral:misc_RNA from 1 species